rnacentral:rRNA from 1 species
GUGGGGAAUAUUGGACAAUGGGGGGAACCCUGAUCCAGCCAUGCCGCGUGUGUGAAGAAGGCCUUUUGGUUGUAAAGCACUUUAAGCGAGGAGGAGGCUACCGAGAUUAAUACUCUUGGAUAGUGGACGUUACUCGCAGAAUAAGCACCGGCUAACUCUGUGCCAGCAGCCGCGGUAAUACAGAGGGUGCAAGCGUUAAUCGGAUUUACUGGGCGUAAAGCGCGCGUAGGUGGCCAAUUAAGUCAAAUGUGAAAUCCCCGAGCUUAACUUGGGAAGUGCAUUCGAUACUGGUUGGCUAGAGUAUGGGAGAGGAUGGUAGAAUUCCAGGUGUAGCGGUGAAAUGCGUAGAGAUCUGGAGGAAUACCGAUGGCGAAGGCAGCCAUCUGGCCUAAUACUGACACUGAGGUGCGAAAGCAUGGGGAGCAAACAGGAUUAGAUACCACGGUAGUCC